rnacentral:tRNA from 1 species
GGAUUGUGGCUUGGUGGCAGAGCACUUGACUAGCAUGUGUGAGGCACUGGGUUCAAUUCCCAGCACCA